rnacentral:lncRNA from 1 species
UUUUUUUUUUUUUUUUCUUGUUUUCUUGUUUUUAAUGGAGCCUGGUUUAUAAUGACCUCAGUCCUGCAAGGGAAUUGAGUGCCAGGGCAGGCCAGCUGAGUUUUAAUUGAUUCUAAUUAGCACCCCCCUAGAGUGUAACAAUUUUUUUUUUUUUUCCUCCAAGCAGUCAGCCGAGUAGCAUUAGGAAAGGUGAGACAUCUUUCUUUGGAACCAUCAACGAGGCAAAACUAUUUUCAGCUCCAUCUCUGCAAGUCCUGCUUUCUCAGGAAUAGGGAGGAAGUGAGAUAAGGAAAAGAAGCACCUGAGAAGCAAGGUGCCAGGAAGUACUCAUUUUAGACCCAGCUGCGGGCUUAGUACAGCAGGAAGAAGAGGCUUAAGCUCUUUGCGCUCAAGUACCUCCCAGCUGAGUUGGAAAGAAUGAGAGAUGGGAUAUAAUCAAGACUUAAUGUUUCAUGGGAGCUGGAGACAUGUUUCUCGGGAUCAGUAUUUAUGGACAUUACAGAAGGUGUUUUCUCACCUUGAACAAGUCAUUAGAUUUGGAACUGGAUGCUGGUGCCAAAAGAAUAAGGUCUAAGAAAACAGUUCGCAGACAGUCCUGAGUGCUCCCUCCGCUCUCAGCCACACUCAGUUGGGAUCCAGUGCCUGCCUGUAGUGGUGAUGCUCCUGUUUUCUCAUCUGCUGGCCAGACACAUGGUUUCCAUUGAUAGGCAGCUAAGUUUGCAACCAGUGCUUAAUCAUUUGCGGUGUUACAGGGACAGAAGUAAUGUGGGAAGCUAGAGCCUCAAGUCAACCCAGGGCCUCAUGAGUCAGAAGUUUCAAUCUACCUUGCCACGAAACACCAUAGACAGCUUCAGAGUAUAACUGGGUUGGUGCUAGGGGACCACUCCUGGGGAGUGGGAGGGAGGGAGCCCUUAUGCUACAGCUGGACACAGUGACAUGGGGGUGUCUUCACUCCCCUCCUCUCCAGUCAGGAAUGCAAUGGUUUUGACAGUCACUUCAAAACUUGCUCUCAGGAGUUCCCAUCGUGGCUCCGUGGUUAACGAAUCCGACUAGGAACCAUGAGGUUCAGGGUUCCAUCCCGGGCCUUGCUCAGUAGGUUAAGGAUCCGGCGUUGCCGUGACCUGUGGUGUAGGUUGCAGACAUGGCUCGGAUCCCGCGUUGCUGUGGCUGUGGUGUAGGCUGGCAGCUGUAGCUCCGAUUCGCCCCCUAGCCUGGGAACCUCCAUAUGCCGCAGGAGCGGCCCAAGAAAUGGCAAAAAGACAAAUGCACAGUGGGAAAUAUAUUCUGCCUUGUGACACAGGGUAUAUGCGUGAAGAUGAAUAGGAUCCUGUUUGCCCUCCUUACAUGAGAGGCACCUGAUCCAUUUUAAUAACCUAUUGUUUAAAUUUUUAUUUUAUUUUUUUGCUUUAUUAUUAUUAUUUUGCUUUUUAGGGCUGCGCCUGUGGCUCAUGGAAGUUCCCAGGCCAGGGGUUGAAUCGGAGCUGCAGCUGCCGGCCUACGCCACAGCCAGCCUACGCCACAGCCGCAGCAACUGCAUCUACAACCUGCGCCACAGUUCACAGGCAAUGUCAGAUGCUUAACCCACUGAAGGAGGCCAGGAUCAAACCCGCGUCCUCAUGGAUACCAAUCAGGUUCAUUACUGCUGAGCCACAAUGAGAACUCCCCUAUUGUUUAAUUUAAAUAAUGUAGGGACCUACUAAAUUGAAGGUCCAUGAAGGGACCUACUAAACUGAUUUCAAAAUUCAUAAGUGGUAGUGAGCUGCAGGGCCAGACUGAGCUGUGGUUUGGUUUCCUGUACCAGGGCGCCUAGUCAGGGGGCCAUUGGAGACUGAACCUCAACUCUCAUUUCUCUCUCUCUUUUUUUGUUUUGCUUUUUAGGGCUGCACCCACAGCAUUUAGAAGUUCCCAGGCUAAGGGUUGACUCGGAGCUACAGCGGCUGGCCUACGCCACAGCCACAGCAAUGCGGGAUCCAAGCCAUGUCUGUGACCUACACCACAGCUCAGGGCAAUGCCUGAUCCUUAAGCCAUUGAGUGAGGCCAGGGAUCAAACCCGCAUCCUCAUGGAUCCUAGUCAGGUUCGUUAAUUGCUGAGCCAUGAAAGGAACUCCUCAACUCUCAUUUCUCUUGCCAAGCAGUUGCCCAUCUUCGGGCUCAGUCUUCCAGAAGAAUGAGUACCUUUUACAACGUGCACAUGGAACAGCCCAUGUGCCCAAGAUUUGUAUGCAUGGGACUUGUGUGCUCCAUUCAACACCAUUUGUAAGUUAUAAGUAGGACCUGUGUGGCUGGUAGGGUCCUUCCUGUUGGUAGGUACCAUGCACAGGAAAGAGAAGGUGGAAAAUUACAGGUUAGGAGAGCCUAGAUCCAGAGCAAGAAGGGAUGCCUGCACAUGGUUUUGGCACUGGUGAGAGUAAAGUUGAGGGGGUUGUUCUAGCCCCACUGGUAGAUACCAAAAUUGGUGGAUACUCAAGUCCUUAUAUAAAAUGGUAUAAAGUAUUUGCAUAGAGUAUAAGUACAACCUUCUGUGUACUUCAGAUCCCUCCAGAUUACUUAGGGUACCUAAAGUAACAUAAUACUAUGUAAAUAGUUGCUAAUGCAAUGCAAAUGCUAUGUAAAUAGUUGCCAGUGUACAGCAAUUUCACAGUUUGCUUUUUAGAACUUUCUGGAAUUUUUUUCUCAAAUAUCGUCUAUCUGCGAUUGAUUGAAUUUUGGAUGUGAAAUUUCUGGAUAUGAAGGUUCCAACUGUAUAUGUUCCCGGCUUCUUCCUCACGUCCCCUUCCCUCUGUAGUGGAAAGAUCAGGAAGGUGCUGAACCAAGACGAGGAAGAAGGGCCCGUGUAACUUCAACACUGGUCAUGGACUCUUAGAUUUCUCUGAAGGGAGUAGCUGAAUUUCUCUCUGGGAUGAAAAAAUCAGGAAAGAGCAAUAAGGAAAAAGUAAAUGUAAUAAGAAAUGAAAAUGAACAAUAAAUGCAACAUGUUUAUUGAAAACGUUCUCUGUACCAGAAGCUGAAUCAGAUACUUCAUUGUUUAAAUAACUUCUUACACUCACUGUGGUUUACAAUAAAUUCUUUUUAAAAAUGAGAUUUACCCAUCUGCAUGAAUGCCCUCAUUUGAAUUCUAUGAUUUUUCUUCACUUCUAGCUAGUCACUAAGCAUAAAUUUCCUGAAAAUAGAAGAGACUCAACUGCUAUUAUUCAAAUAAUGACCAUUGUGCCAGAAGGGAGUGUCAAGGAGUUAAUUAAAGUUAACAAAACCAUUGCCAGAUUUCCUAGGGUGAGAAAAGUUUUUCUUUUCCCCUGCGUUUUUUAUGUAAAGCAUAGAAGACUAACAGGCAUUUCUUUCAUGUCACUCAGAGUUUCUCAUUCAGCAAAUACUUAUUGAAUAUUCACUGUGUCCUGGACACUGAGUAGGCACCUGGUACAAAGCAGGCCUGAGAAGUCUCUGGCCUUAGGGAGCAGGGUUCAGGGGAAGGGCAGACUUAACUCAUGAGCAAGAAAGGGCCCUGAGACCCCUUUAUGUGGUCAUCAGUAAGGGCCCUACUCAGUGUGUACCAGUUAGGAUUAAGUUUAUCUGCAUGUGAUAGAAAACCUAAACUAACAGUGGCUUAAAGACACAAGUUUUUAUUUUCUCAAGGGCAAGAACUCUUGAUCAGGACUUAUGUGGUAUUACUAUGAUGUUUUCAGGGACUCAGACUAUCCAGCUUUCCACUCCAUCAUCCCUACCUUAUGGCCCUCAUUCACAUGGUUCAUUGUGGCUGCCAGGGCUCCAGCUAUCACAUAGUCAUUCCAGGAGAAUGAGAAGAAGGGCAUACUUUCUCCCUUUAAAGGAAGCUUGGGAAAUAUAGUCUUUAUUCUAGGCAGUCAUGGGCACAGCUAAAUUCAGAAGGUUUACUUUACUAAGGAAGAAGGAGAAACUUUAUACUGAGGUCAGCAACCAGCAGCCUCCCUCUAGGCGUGAGGUGCAAUGGUCUGGGAAAGCUUUGUGAAGGUGGUAGGGUGUGACUCAGGCUUUCAUGACUGGGUAGUAUUUGGAUCAGACUGACUGAAAACCUGUUGACUAUAGACUAGACCCCUGUGCUAUAGCAGAUACGUCUGUGAUAGAGCUUGGGAAGGUCCUGCUCUGGCAGAUUGUCCACUUAGAGAACCCUGACCACCGUCUCAGGAGUUCCAAGAGUCAAGCUGUAGAUUAGCAGGUUUUGAUUAUUAUUGUUAUUUAACAUUUAAGUACAGGAGAUUUUGUAGAUAUAAUGUAGGGACUCACACAUGGGAGUUCUUAGAAUGCGAACUCUGUCCCUUGUUUUCUGUCAUGCCCAGAACACACACCUGGCCCUAUAGAGCAUGGCAAAUAAAGGGGAGGGGAAGGCAAGCUGAAAUCCAGAGAGACCCAGUAUGGGGAGUGCAGUUGGAUGGUCCUAGAGAAAAGCUUGUUCUUCUUCCUAAGUUCCUUGCCUCUGUUUUAUCCAGACCCCAGAGAAAUCGGCAGUUUGGUUUUCUCCUUUUUUCUUCUCCCCUAAGGUUUUGCAGAAUACAGAGCUAGCAGGAUUACCUGGGUUGUUAGGGGUCAUGCUGUCAACAAAACAAGGAUGUCUGUUACCAUUGCCUGUAUUAAAUGUUGUUCUGUAGGCACUAGCUAAUGAACUCGGACAAGCAAGAGGAUGCAUGUGGAAAGCGAGAGGUGGAAUUUCCAUGCUGUGCAUAUGGUAGACUUAUAUCCUAAAUGAUGAACUAUUUAUUAUAAACAACCAGAGAAUACAGUAAGGUGCAUGGGACGUGAAAUGAAUAUACAAAAAUAGCUUUAGAGAAAAAGGACCAGGUAGAAAAUAAAAUGGAAGCAAAGACUCCAUUCACAGCAAGGAUAAGUGAGAAUAAUUUAGGUGAACUAGUUUUGUAAGCUAUUAUAUAUUUUAAGUGGUAUUAUAUAUAUUUAAUUAGUAUAAUACCAAUACUAGAAUAGACAGAAAGAUCAAUAGUAUAGAAUGGAAUCGAGAACUAGACACUGAUAUAUAUAAAUAGAAACUUUAUCUUAAGAUAAAGGUGGCAUUUUAUAUCAGUAAGGAAAAUGAUAGAUUAUUCAAUAAAUAGUUUGGGACAACUGGGUAGCCAUCUGGAAAAACAAAAAUUGGAUCAAUAUCUCACUUUUAGUGCCAACAUAAAUGCCAGAAAGAUACAAAUUUAAAUCUUCAAAGUAGUAAAAGACAGAAGUUUUAAAAAUUGUAUGGUAGCAUCGUCUGCCUAGGUAUAACACAAACCCUGUAAAUCAUAAAUACAAACCGAUAUGUUAAAUUUAAAUUUCAAAAGAGUAAACAAAACCAGGCCUCAUGGAGGUUAUGUCCCUGAUAGCUUCAUGAACCAUCAGAAAGUAAAAAAAAAAAAAAA